GUGCUCACUUCAGCAGCACAUAUACUAAAAUUGGAACGAUACAAAGAAGAUUAGCAUGGGCCCUGCACAAGGAUGACAUGCAAAUUUGUGAAGUGUUCCAUAAAAAA
rnacentral:snRNA from 1 species